CGUCUGUCACCCCCUGCACUAUACGGUCAUCAUGAACCCCCAGCUCUGUGGACUGCUGGUUCUGGGGUCCUGGUGCAUCAGUGUCAUGGGUUCCCUGCUCGAGACCUUGACUGUUUUGAGGCUGUCCUUCUGCACCGAAAUGGAAAUUCCACACUUUUUUUGUGAUCUACUUGAAGUCCUGAAGCUCGCCUGUUCUGACACCUUCAUUAAUAACGUGGUGAUAUACUUUGCAACUGGCGUCCUGGGUGUGAUUUCCUUCACUGGAAUAUUUUUCUCUUACUAUAAAAUUGUUUUCUCUAUACUGAGGAUUUCCUCAGCUGGGAGAAAGCACAAAGCGUUUUCCACCUGUGGUUCCCACCUCUCAGUGGUCACCUUGUUCUAUGGCACGGGCUUUGGGGUCUAUCUCAGUUCUGCAGCCACACCAUCUUCUAGGACAAGUCUGGUGGCCUCAGUGAUGUACACCAUGGUCACC
rnacentral:lncRNA from 1 species